rnacentral:lncRNA from 1 species
CUCGUCCACAAUGAAGUCACUUUGCUUUGCGGGAUUCUUCAUUUACUUCAACUAACUCAAAAUGUUCCCAAAUAGACGAUCUAGCUUUAGAACCGCGAGGCAUAGUUGAACCUACAAAAAAAUAUCACAAGUUAAUAAAAUAUUUUUAAUUAUAAAUAACAAAAGAAUACCACAAAACAAGCAAAUUCUUAAACUUACCACUUGUUCAAACUAUGCAUCAACAAUG